CAGCAGCCGCGGUAAUACGAAGGGGGCUAGCGUUGCUCGGAAUUACUGGGCGUAAAGGGCGCGUAGGCGGACAGUUAAGUUGGGGGUGAAAGCCCGGGGCUCAACCUCGGAAUUGCCUUCAAUACUGGCUGUCUUGAGUACGGGAGAGGUGAGUGGAACUCCGAGUGUAGAGGUGAAAUUCGUAGAUAUUCGGAAGAACACCAGUGGCGAAGGCGACUCACUGGCCCGUUACUGACGCUGAGGCGCGAAAGCGUGGGGAGCAAACAGGAUUAGAUACCCUGGUAGUCCACGCCGUAAACGAUGAGUGCUAGUUGUCGGCAUGCAUGCAUGUCGGUGACGCAGCUAACGCAUUAAGCACUCCGCCUGGGGAGUACGGUCGCAAGAUUAAAACUCAAAUAAAUUGACGG
rnacentral:rRNA from 1 species